UUAGGUUCUUACAGGUUUGUAUCUAAGGGUUAGGUUAUUACAGGUUUGUAUCUAAGGGUUAGGUUAUUACAGGUUUGUAUCUAAGGGUUAGGUUAUUACAGGUUUGUAUCUAAGGGUUAGGUUCUUACAGGUUUGUAUCUAAGGGUUAGGUUCUUACAGGUUUG